rnacentral:rRNA from 1 species
GUCAUAGUGAUCCGGUGGUUCUGAAUGGAAGGGCCAUCGCUCAACGGAUAAAAGGUACUCCGGGGAUAACAGGCUGAUACCGCCCAAGAGUUCAUAUCGACGGCGGUGUUUGGCACCUCGAUGUCGGCUCAUCACAUCCUGGGGCUGAAGUAGGUCCCAAGGGUAUGGCUGUUCGCCAUUUAAAGUGGUACGCGAGCUGGGUUUAGAACGUCGUGAGACAGUUCGGUCCCUAUCUGCCGUGGGCGCUGGAGAACUGAGGGGGGCUGCUCCUAGUACGAGAGGACCGGAGUGGACGCAUCACUGGUGUUCGGGUUGUCAUGCCAAUGGCACUGCCCGGUAGCUAAAUGCGGAAGAGAUAAGUGCUGAAAGCAUCUAAGCACGAAACUUGCCCCGAGAUG